rfam:Marinobacter salinus strain Hb8 chromosome, complete genome.
UGACGGUUGGUGCGGGAUACCCUUUACGAAACUGUGCGGAGCCAUGGAUGGCGGAGCUCAAGCGUCACAUGGACGUGCCGCAAGGAGCGUGUUUCGUAAAGGGUAUCCCGCACCAACCCUCC